rnacentral:lncRNA from 1 species
CUCAGAAGCACGUGCGCCUUACGUCAUUUCCUGUUAUUCUUUGGUUUGCCUCCUCCCAGUGGCGUGGAUUUGCUCCCAACCCGCUUUUGGGGCAUGCGUGCUUCCUCCUCUCUGUCAGGUCUCGCUCUGUCACCCAGGCUGGAGUGAAAUGGCACGAUCUUGGCUCACUGUAACCUCUGCCCCCAGGUUCAACUGAUUCUCGUGCCUCAGCCUCCUCAGUAGCUGGGAUUACAGAUGAGGCCCAGAGAGGCGAAGCCACUUGAGCUCGUGAGUGACAGUCAGAUCUCAAGCCCUGCUCUUUCUAAAGUGUGCUGCCUUCAAAAAAGAAGAGCCAGAAGAAUGGAAAUUACUUUAGAAAGAUGAAUACCAGCUUUGAAGGAAUAAAAGCUGACAAGGAAUUGAAAGAGUUGAGGCACAAGCUUGAACAGGAUUGCAUGUUUGGCCCUUGAUUGUAAACGCCUAUUGCUGCACCUGUUCCUGUUACUUGGGGAGCUGCAGCAGAAGGAACAGCGGCCUGGGACUCCAGAGAACUGGGUUCCCUCUCAUCCCUCCAGGGCCACCACUUCUUGUGGGCCCUUGGGCAAGUCACUGUACUUUCUGAGUCUCAGUUUCCCCAUUUGCAGAAUGGAAAUAACUACCCCGGUCUACCAACUUAGAAGAAUUGCUUUGAGGAUCUGAUAAGGUGGUGUGGAUGAUGCUGCCUUGGGGGCUUUACAGUCUGGAGCUCAAGGGACCCCUUAAGUUGGGCUUACUUAGUAUCUCCAGGGGUGGGCAGAACAGGACUCCAAUGAGGGUUUUUUUCUUUUUCCCUUUUUUUUCUUUUCCUAUCUCUCAACUUUUAUCUUUAUUAUUUUACAAUGCCCUUGUAAGAUGAAACAAGUGAUGCUGAAAUAUUUUUUUUCUUUUUUAACCUUUAUUUUAGAAUUGGGGUACAUGUGCAGGUUUGUUACAUAGGUAUAGUGUGGGCUGCUGAGGUUUGGGGUACGAAUGAAUUAGUCACCCCAGAGGUGAGCAUAGUGCCUGAUAAGUAGUUUUUUCAGUCCUUACUCCCAUCCCUCUCCAUUCUUGUGUUCCCCAGUGUCUGCUGUUCAGGUUUUUAUGACCGUGUGUACUCAAUGUUUAGCUCCCACUUAGAAGUAAGAACAUGCCCAGCACUUUAGGAGGCCGAGAUGGGUGGAUCAUGAGGUCAAGAGAUCGAAACCAUCUUGACUAACACAGUGAAACCCCGUCUCUACUAAAAACAUAAAAAAUUGGCCGGGUGUGGUGGUGUUCACCUGUAGUCCUAGCUACUCAGGAGGCUGAGACAGGAGAAUCGCUUGAACCGGGGAGGUGGAGGUUGCAGUGAGCUGAGAUUGUGCCACUGCACUCCAACCUGGGUGACAGAGUGGGAUUCCAUCUCAAAAAAAUAAAAAUAAAAAAAUAAAAAGAACGUGGUGUAUGA